CAACAUAAUGACUUUGGGAAUGGAGUGUCAGCUAACCUCCUAAUUAUACACAUUGAACAGUGACAAUAGCAAAUGAUUCAAAAAACAGAUCAUAUAUCCUCUACUCAGAUGUCCUUUAUAUGCUACAUGAAUCUUGGAUCCCUAUGCUGUAUGCAUGAUCAUAUUAUACUACUUGGUAUAUUGAUGCAAAGAACAGAGGCUUAAUCGCUUAUCGCCCAGAAAGCUUAACCAUCCAUGCUCCACCCAAGUAAAGACCUAAAAGUGGGCCAGCUAGAAGCAUUUGAGUAAGGGGAUCAGUUGAUGGUGUGAGCACUGCAGCAGCAACGACAGCACCUACCACCACGUAUCUCCAAAUCGACAGCAUUUGAUCUCCUGACACAAGACCAGUUUGUCCCAGAAGCAGUUGAAUGACAGGAACCUGGAAAGACAACCCUGUACUGAACAUGAGUACGAGCACAAAUUCGAAGUAUUGAUCAAUGGACCAAAAAG
rnacentral:misc_RNA from 1 species